GUCUGGAAGGCCUCCACGGCAUCUAGUUCUUCAGUCUGAUCUGUGUUGGGUUUGUUUUUGUUUUUUUUCUCUUGCUGUUUCAUUGAUAAACAAUAACAGCAAAGUUGUCUCAGAUCAAAUGCAAGAGAAGUGGUGUGUAAUUGUGGAGGUAUUUCUACAAGUUACUUUUGACUUACAUAUGCCUGUAAGUGUGCCACAUAGCAGCGAGAACCCGUAGUCUGUUGAUACUUGACUUUACUGCGGUUCUGCUUGUUCUUUUCACAUGUUUCCUACGCAAGAAUUAACAUGUAACUAAGAUGAGAUGAUAAGGUCAAAAUGAGAAGAUCAUUUGGAAAGGAAGAAUAUAUGAGAAGAAGCCCAUACCAUGUUCUUUGGAUCAGUCCACUUUGCAACUAGUGUCUUCCACUGUGCAUCAGUCAUGUAAGGAACAGGAGAAGUUGUAGGAACCUCAUUUGCAGGUACACCAUUAAAGUAUUUCUGCUUGAGACGAUAGCGCUGGUUUUUUACUGCAGAGCGCAGCAUAUCAGUGCAAGCUUGCUCUGUUGGCUUGUCGGUUUUGUUUAUGGCCAAGCGCCCCUAGGCAUAUGAUAAUUCCAUAGUUAGUUAGCCAAUUCAGGUUAAGCAAUACACAAGUUAAGUAUAUAGAGAAUAGUGCACUUACACCAAGCUGU
rnacentral:lncRNA from 1 species